GACGAACGCUGGCGGCGUGCUUAACACAUGCAAGUCGAGCGGAGCGGCGAAGGGGUGAGUAAGGCGGGGGUAACUUCCCCCCUCUCUGGGAUAACAGUUGGAAACGGCUGCUAAUACCGGAUAGUGGGGGAUGACUCGCGUCCUAUCGGCUUGUUGGUGGGGUAGUGGCCUACCAAGGCGACGACGGGUAGCCGGCCUGAGAGGGCGACCGGCCACACUGGGCUGAGAUACGGCCCAAACUCCUACGGGAGGAAGCAGGGGGGAAUCUUGCACAAUGGGGGAAACCCUGAUGCAGCAGCGCCGCGUGCGGGAGGACGGCUUUCGGGUUGUAAACCGCUUUCAGCCAUGACGCGGUAGUGGCAGAAGAAGCACCGGCUAACUACGUGCCAGCAGCCGCGGUAAUUC
rnacentral:rRNA from 1 species